GGGCCCUUCCCGCUCACCCUUAGGCUCCUGGAGGCAAGGGUCAUAGGAAGGGGUUUUAAGGGUCAGUAGCCUGUCAGGUAGUCCAGCGUGGAGUCAGAGAAACUGGUUCAGGGGCCUGUCAGGUAGUCCAGCGUGGAGUCAGAGAAACUGGUUCAGGGGCCUGUCAGGUAGUCCAGCGUGGAGUCAGAGAAACUGGUUCAGGGGUCAGUGGCCUGUCAGGUAGUCCAGCGUGGAGUCAGAGAAACUGGUUCAGGGGUCAGUGGCCUGUCAGGUAGUCCUGCGUGGAGUCAGAGAAACUGGUUCAGGGGUCAGGGGCCUGUCAGGUAGUCCAGCGUGGAGUCAGAGAAACUGGUUCAGGGGUCAGGGGCCUGUCAGGUAGUCCUGCGUGGAGUCAGAGAAGCUGGUUCAGGGGUCAGUGGCCUGUCAGGUAGUCCAGCGUGGAGUCAGAGAAGCUGGUUCAGGGGUCAGUGGCCUGUCAGGUAGUCCUGCGUGGAGUCAGAGAAACUGGUUCAGGGGCCUGUCAGGUAGUCCAGCGUGGAGUCAGAGAAACUGGUUCAGGGGUCAGGGGCCUGUCAGGUAGUCCUGCGUGGAGUCAGAGAAACUGGUUCAGGGGUCAGUGGCCUGUCAGGUAGUCCUGCGUGGAGUCAGAGAAGCUGGUUCAGGGGUCAGUGGCCUGUCAGGUAGUCCUGCGUGGAGUCAGAGAAACUGGUUCAGGGGUCAGGGGCCUGUCAGGUAGUCCAGCGUGGAGUCAGAGAAGCUGGUUCAGGGGUCAGUGGCCUGUCAGGUAGUCCAGCGUGGAGUCAGAGAAACUGGUUCAGGGGUCAGGGGCCUGUCAGGUAGUCCUGCGUGGAGUCAGAGAAGCUGGUUCAGGGGUCAGGGGCCUGUCAGGUAGUCCUGCGUGGAGUCAGAGAAGCUGGUUCAGGGGUCAGGGGUCUGUCAGGUAGUCCAGCGUGGAGUCAGAGAAGCUG